AGUCCCGUGGUGUAAAGCACAUUAGAUUGCAAGUCUGAAAGAGCAGAAUAAUAGCCUGCCGGGGCUU
rnacentral:tRNA from 1 species